AUUGAACGCUGGCGGCAGGCCUAACACAUGCAAGUCGAGCGGAGCGGCGGACGGGUGAGUAAUGCCUAGGAAUCUGCCUGGUAGUGGGGGAUAACGUCCGGAAAAGGGCGCUAAUACCGCAUACUAUCAGAUGAGCCUAGGUCGGAUUGUCUGGUGGGUGGGGUAAAGGCCUACCAAGGCGACGAGCCGUAACUGGUCUGCGAGGAUGAUCAGUCAACCUGGAACUGAGACACGGUCCAGAUUCCUACGGGAGGCAGCAGUGGGGAAUAUUGGACAAUGGGCGAAAGCCUGAUCCAGCCAUGCCGCGUGUGUUAAGAAGGUCUUCGGAUUGUAAAGCACUUUAAGUUGGGAGGCGUUACCAACAGAAUAAGCACCGGCUAACUACGUGCCAGCAGCCGCGGUAAUAC
rnacentral:rRNA from 1 species